UACGUAGGGGGCAAGCGUUGUCCGGAUUUAUUGGGCGUAAAGCGCGUGUAGGCGGCUAGAUAGGUCCGCUGUGAAAACUUGAGGCUCAACCUCAAGAGGUCGGUGGAAACCAUCUGGCUAGAGUCCGGAAGAGGAGAGUGGAAUUCCUGGUGUAGCGGUGAAAUGCGUAGAUAUCUGGAGGAACACCGGUGGCGAAGGCGGCAUCCUGGACCAACACUGACGCUGAGGAGCGAAAGCCAGGGGAGCAAACGGG
rnacentral:rRNA from 1 species